rnacentral:rRNA from 1 species
UACGGAGGGUGCAAGCGUUGUCCGGAUUUAUUGGGUUUAAAGGGUGCGUAGGCGGCUUUUUAAGUCAGUGGUGAAAUCCAGCAGCUCAACUGUUCGAAUUGCCAUUGAUACUGGGAAGCUUGAGUACAGUCGAGGUAGGCGGAAUUGACGGUGUAGCGGUGAAAUGCAUAGAUAUCGUCAAGAACACCUAUUGCGAAGGCAGCUUACUAGACUGUAACUGACGCUGAGGCACGAAAGUGUGGGGAUCAAACAGG